CUAUAUUCGUUGCUUGUCCAAUGCAUUGUGGGAAUAUGGUGUGAACUGAGAGGCAAGGGAGUGUGAGAGCGUCUCACUUACUAAGUUAAAGAAGGCACAAGGGGCAGGACCACCUAACACGUGUGCCCAACCCCCAUUUCCAUCCUCUAAACACACACACUCUUCCUCACACACUCUCUUUCUCUUUGACUUUUUUUCCAGUGUCUCUCAGAGCUGUGUGUGUGCUGCUCCUGCUCCCUCUCUCUCUCUCUUUCUCUCUCUCUCUAUUCAUCUCCACUGUGUGUGAGAUAACGUCUGCCUCUGAGACCAGUCUCAGGAGUUCCAAGAGCAUUCAGUGAGUUUCAUUCAGAAAUCUGAAGACAUCAUGAAGUUUGAACUGCUGCUGCUGAUUGCCCUAGUUGGGUCUUUUUGUACCAUCACACAUGCAAGAUCUUGUGCUUCUUUCCAGCUGCAUCUAAAGGAAGUGAGCCGACGUGUUUGGAAUGAGUGAUGACGCAGGCGGGAUAUGAGCUCUUCAGGGUGGGGUUUAGGAGGGGCCUUGCCUUGGAGGUACUAUUGUGGUACCCACAGACGUGGUGCUGGCACAAGUGACAGGGGCCUUUGGGCCCACUGAGGCUGCAGAGACAUUAAAGGAGGUGGAGGAACCUGUCACUGAAGCACCAGCACCAGCUGCUACUGAAGCUGCUGUGGUGGAAGCAGAGACACCAUCUGCUCAUACUAAAGUUCCUGUAGUGGAAGCAGAGACACCAUCAGCUCAUACUAAAGUUCCUGUGGUGGAAGCAGAGACACCAUCAGUUCAUACUGAAGUUCCUGUGAAGGAAACAGAGGCACCAUCAGUUCAUACUACAGCUCAGACGGCGCAAGCAGAAACAACAGAAGGAGUUACGGAAGCUCCUGCCAAAAACACCGAAACAACUGUGGAGGCAGAGGAUGCUGCAGCUACAGAAGCUACACCUGAAGUUAUUGAGGUAGCAGAUGAAACUGAAGCUCCAAAAACAGGGCUGUCAAUCACAGAGACAGUAUUAAACGCAGAGGCAGACCAAGUGAUCGAAACAGAGGGGGAUGAGGUGGAAGUGGAGGACUCAGAGGGUAUGAGCACGGGUCAAGUGGUGGGCAUUGUGUUUGGUGCACUGGUCGCUGUGGUCAUCAUCAUUGCAGUGAUAGUCGUGGUGGUCAGGAGGAUGGGACAAUACUCCCCCUGAAAAGGAAGGUGGCAAGACAGGAAGAAAAGAAGAAAAAGAAGAGGUUCUGGAAAUUCUGAACUACUGAACUGAUGUCAUUUCCUGUCAUUAAAUAAGCAAGCCAGGAGCACUCUAAUCAUCCAGGACAAUUAGGGCAGCAUCCUGCCUUACCCUAUCCCUAGAACCAUUGAUUUGGACACUUCCCCCAUCACCCUAACACCCCCCCCCCCCCCCCCCCCCCAAACAAACAAACAAAAAACCCUGCCCAUAACCCCCACCACUGCCAAAGAUUCAGACAGGAAGUAAAGGAGGAGGAAGAAUUUGAAUGUGUCACAUAUACUUACAACACAUCUGGGUUGUUAUGUGGACCUAAUGAGCAAACACAUUAACAGCCAGUUAAAAAAAAACAAACUAAAAUAUCUUUUAAAAUAACGGGGAGAUAUGAGGUAAAGUACAGAAACGCGAAAUAGUACAUAUGUAAAUAACACCAAAAAUGGCCAUAACUCACCAGCCUUUAACUUUCUCUCUUUUUUUUAUUGCAUUCUAUGUAUCGAAAGCAUGCUUGAACACACACCAGCAGUAGUUGAGUCUAUAUCCACAUUCAAUUCCAUGUAGCAUGACAAACAUUAAUGUGCUGCAGUAGUAUGACACAUAAAAAGCAUUUUAUAACCAGAUUAUAGGCAUUUUAUAAAGAGAUUGUAACAUGUUGUAUACAUUCCCAAGCAGAUCAGAUGUCAGGACAAAUUGGGCCUGCAUAAUAUCUUUCAUAUUUUGGUUUAACUAGUAGCUUUAAUCCUGACAUAUAAAACUUUGACAGGACAUUAAUGGAAUGGCUAAUGGCUCGGGUAAUUUCUAUGUUCAACUCUUGCAGUUCAUUAAUGUGAAUUCAAAUUGACGUGGUUGUUUUUAACAGCCUCCCUUUUCAGCAGUAAUUAAAUCAUAUUUACUUUGCUCCACAGCAUAACGCCAGUGUGAAUACUGCUUAAAGUUUUUCAACCAGGGUCAUUUUUGGAAAUUCUGUUCAAUCUGGAAAACAUUUAAGAAGCUUAGAGACACUCGGUCUCAUCAUCCUUUUACAUCAUGUGGUCUGGCUACCAGACUUGUGCUUUAACCUCAGGUUCACUGGACAAGAAGUGACUCUUUUUGCUGCGUAAUUAAGGGGUGUGUGUUAUGCUGUGCUUGCUUUAAUAUGUGCACUGACUGACAAAAAAUGUUUAAUGUAAAAUGGUUUGAGACACUGCAACAGUUUGCAACGAUGCCUUUUUUUUAUGCUUACUCUAUACGCCAGGUCCUCACUUUACUGUCUGCUGUCUAAGUCAUUUUAUUUAAUUGCAGUGUUUUUUUCUUUUUCUUUUUGGAUGUUCAUACUGUUUCGAUUAAAAAGUGAAAAUUGAUAUCUCAAUGUGUUUUGUGCCUCAGUAAGCUUUCUGACAUGCGUGAGAUCGAGCAUCUCUGUAAUGAUGUUUUUGUGAAAGUUGUCAGGUAACAGUGUACAUGCCAGUGUACAAUCAAUAACACGCUACAAUUAUUACCGUUAUUAUGCUAAUCCUCACUGGUAACACGUCAUAACCAGCUCAUUCAUUUCGCUGUCCCACUCUCUCUGUACCUACGUGGUACCUACCUAGAUUUGGUCAGUUAAGUAAUGUGAGGCACAUAACACUGGCACUUGUGUGUGCGCGUUUCCAUGUGGUUUUAGGCAGCAGCCCAGUUCGCCUCUCUCUGGAUUGAACAAUGGGGCUCUUAUAGCACGGAGUCCCAGUCAGACCCUCAGCUACAGUAUAUAGGUGCCACGAAAAAUUUCUGCAUGUUUCAGAUGGGUGGGGCACUUCCUGAAUGUGCACUCUAGCACCCAUGAUGGCAGGAGAUAGGAAAACAAGGACCAACUUAUGCACAUUUAUUAGAGAUCAUAUUGUAAGAUAUAAGGUAUAGUAUAAUAUAUGGAGUGUGAGGUACACAUAUGUAUCAGUUACACAUCCAUGCUGAUCAAUUUGUGUAUAUUUGUGUAUGUGUGUGUGUGUAUAUAUAUA
ensembl:lncRNA